AUACAAUGGCUUCUGGUCAAUUCAGUCAUAAGAUGUAUUCCUGGCUGGAAAAUUCUGCUAUUUGGAAUCUACAGUUAGACAAGACUGCAUGUUAGACUCUGAAGUUAGGCAGGGUCACCACCCUGGACAGGUAUGGAAUGUAUUCGGUGUUGAGGAGUUUGGACAGUACAGCAGCAGCUGCUCUAGAGCAUAAGCAGAUGGUGAAUGUUCAACUUGAUUACAUUGACCAAACGGAAUUGGAUAACAAACUCGAAAUAGUUUGAGAAAAAAGCACACGUAUAAUGCUUAGAGAUGUAAAAGCCAUUUUGCAAGAAUGAGAAUGAGUGCUACAUGCUAAGGAAAGUGGAAUGGAAAGUUAAGAACAGUUAAGAAUGAGGUGAAGACUAGAAAAGGGAAAAUUGUCUUUGUUGAAGAGCGCUUGUCUCCUGACAGUUACUCAGUGAUGCAAAGCUAAAAAGAGCACUGUGCUCAUGGUGGAAAAUAAUUCCCAGGACUUGACAGGGAAGAAUGUACUCAUUCCACGCCCCGGGCAGAAGUCUGCUGAGACAAACAGAAGAAAGAUAGUUAGUGAGCAAAUUCAUCAAGACCAAUAUCAUGUAUUUCUCCCCCUGGCCUGAUGGCUGAUUUGCACUCCUCCUGUAAGCAACAAAACUGCAAAACCAGUGCUACAAAACAGAAGCACCUGUAAGUCCGUGGGAGCACAUCUUUGCUCAACAAGAGAUCCUGACAACUAACAACUAACAACCAUCUGCCUGAGACACAGUUCGAGUUUUUAAGAUGCAUCAGUUCCCCUUUCCAGCCUGAAGCCUCAUCAUCAAACAAUGCUUCCAAUGCUUGGCAUGUUUAAUUAUAGAAUUAUAAACUAUUAGAGCUUGCUUCCUUGGCAAUUAUGUGAGGCAACCCUCAAACUUUCCAGAGGAUAAUGAGCGUAGGCUAAUUUGAUGGUAUUUCAAGGUCAUGCAUCUAUUUGAAAAAGAGAUCAGAAUAAAAUCCAGAUUUCAAA
rnacentral:lncRNA from 10 species